rnacentral:rRNA from 1 species
GACGUAGGGCGCGAGCGUUGUCCGGAUUUAUUGGGCGUAAAGCGCGCGCAGGCGGCUUCGCGCGCCCGACGUGAAAGCCCCCGGCUUAACUGUGGGCUUGCGGUCGAUACGGGCAUCACUGGAGUUCGGCAGGGGAGACUGGAAUUCCUGGUGUAGCGGUGAAAUGCGCAGAUAUCAGGAGGAACACCGAUGGCGAAGGCAGGUCUCUGGGCCACUACUGACGCUGAGAAGCGAAAGCAUGGGGAGCGAACAGG